UGCUCCAAUAGGUUCCCUGUUGCAGGGGUCAGACUCCGUGAGGGGGAGCAGGCAGGGCAGCUGCUUUGCAGGGGGCCAUGGGCCCUGUGUGAGUUGGGAGAAGCUGAGCCAGGAGCAGGCUGGUGUCCCUAACUCUGGAGCACUUUGCAGCAGACCUAACCAGGAUGCCCCUGGAUUAUGCAGAAGUGACAAGAGAGGCAGAGAUUUCAGCAGUGCUGUUUGCGAUCUACAGCACUGUAUAGAAAACGGCCCAGCCAAAGAACUAUGAAUUCCUCUAUGAGACGCAGUAUUAAAGGUGUGGGCAUGACGUGGGAAAUAUUGCAAAGCACUCCGAUACUAUAGCAACAGGCGUCAUAAGUACUUAAGACAGAAGGU